rnacentral:rRNA from 1 species
GAUGAACGCUGGCGGCGUGCUUAACACAUGCAAGUCGAACGGAAAGGCUCCUGCUUGCAGGGGUACUCGAGUGGCGAACGGGUGAGUAACACGUGGGUGAUCUGCCCUGCACUUCGGGAUAAGCCUGGGAAACUGGGUCUAAUACCGGAUAGGUCGAUGGUUUGGAUGCCAUUGUGGAAAGUUUUUUCGGUGUGGGAUGAGCUCGCGGCCUAUCAGCUUGUUGGUGGGGUAAUGGCCUACCAAGGCGUCGACGGGUAGCCGGCCUGAGAGGGUGUACGGCCACAUUGGGACUGAGAUACGGCCCAGACUCCUACGGGAGGCAGCAGUGGGGAAUAUUGCACAAUGGGCGCAAGCCCGAUGCAGCGACGCCGCGUGGGGGAUGACGGCCUUCGGGUUGUAAACUCCUUUCGCUAGGGACGAAGCGCAAGUGACGGUACCUGGAGAAGAAGCACCGGCUAACUACGUG